rnacentral:rRNA from 1 species
CCUACGGGAGGCAGCAGUGGGGAAUAUUGCACAAUGUGGGAAACCCUGAUGCAGCGACGCCGCGUGAAGGAAGAAGUAUUCCGGUAUGUAAACUUCUAUCAGCAGGGAAGAAAAUGACGGUACCUGACUAAGAAGCCCCGGCUAACUACGUGCCAGCAUCCGCGGUAAUACGUAGGGGGCAAGCGUUAUCCGGAUUUACUGGGUGUAAAGGGAGCGUAGGCGGCGAUGCAAGUCAGAAGUGAAAGCCCGGGGCUCAACUCCGGGACUGCCUUUGAAACUGGAUGGCUAGAUUGCAGGAGAGGCAAGUGGAAUGCGUAGUGUAGCGGUGAAAUGCGUAGAUAUUAGGAGGAACACCAGUGGCGAAGGCGGCUUGCUGGACUGUAAAUGACGCUGAGGCUCGAAAGCGUGGGGAGCAAACAGGAUUAGAUACCCCAGUAGUC